GACGAACGCUGGCGGCGUGCUUAACACAUGCAAGUCGAACGGAAAGGCCCUGCUUUUGUGGGGUGCUCGAGUGGCGAACGGGUGAGUAACACGUGAGUAACCUGCCCUUGACUUUGGGAUAACUUCAGGAAACUGGGGCUAAUACCGGAUAGGAGCUCCUGCUGCAUGGUGGGGGUUGGAAAGUUUCGGCGGUUGGGGAUGGACUCGCGGCUUAUCAGCUUGUUGGUGGGGUAGUGGCUUACCAAGGCUUUGACGGGUAGCCGGCCUGAGAGGGUGACCGGCCACAUUGGGACUGAGAUACGGCCCAGACUCCUACGGGAGGCAGCAGUGGGGAAUAUUGCACAAUGGGCGGAAGCCUGAUGCAGCAACGCCGCGUGCGGGAUGACGGCCUUCGGGUUGUAAACCGCUUUCGCCUGUGACGAAGCGUGAGUGACGGUAAUGGGUAAAGAAGCACCGGCUAACUACGUGCCGGCAGCCGCGGUGAUACGUAGGGUGCGAGCGUUGUCCGGAUUUAUUGGGCGUAAAGGGCUCGUAGGUGGUUGAUCGCGUCGGAAGUGUAAUCUUGGGGCUUAACCCUGAGCGUGCUUUCGAUACGGGUUGACUUGAGGAAGGUAGGGGAGAAUGGAAUUCCUGGUGGAGCGGUGGAAUGCGCAGAUAUCAGGAGGAACACCAGUGGCGAAGGCGGUUCUCUGGGCCUUUCCUGACGCUGAGGAGCGAAAGCGUGGGGAGCGAACAGGCUUAGAUACCCUGGUAGUCCACGCUGUAAACGGUGGGUACUAGGUGUGGGGUCCAUUCCACGGGUUCCGUGCCGUAGCUAACGCUUUGAGUACCCCGCCUGGGGAGUACGGCCGCAAGGCUAAAACUCAAAGGAAUUGACGGGGCCCCGCACAAGCGGCGGAGCAUGCGGAUUAAUUCGAUGCAACGCGUAGAACCUUACCUGGGUUUGACAUGGAUCGGGAGUGCUCAGAGAUGGGUGUGCCUCUUUUGGGGUCGGUUCACAGGUGGUGCAUGGCUGUCGUCAGCUCGUGUCGUGAGAUGUUGGGUUAAGUCCCGCAACGAGCGCAACCCUUGUUCACUGUUGCCAGCACGUUAUGGUGGGGACUCAGUGGAGACCGCCGGGGUCAACUCGGAGGAAGGUGGGGAUGACGUCAAGUCAUCAUGCCCCUUAUGUCCAGGGCUUCACGCAUGCUACAAUGGCUGGUACAGAGAGUGGCGAGCCUGUGAGGGUGAGCGAAUCUCGGAAAGCCGGUUUCAGUUCGGAUUGGGGUCGGCAACUCGACCUCAUGAAGUCGGAGUCGCUAGUAAUCGCAGAUCAGCAACGCUGCGGUGAAUACGUUCCCGGG
rnacentral:rRNA from 1 species